rnacentral:rRNA from 1 species
GAUUUCUGGCUUGAAACAUUUUGCCGGCCACGGUUUCGUGUGUUAGUGCUUGAUGUUCUGGCCAUCCUUCCAAUCGCCAUCGGCUUAUCUUCAUUGAUCGGUCGGUGGUAUUGGAUCUUUUACUUUGAAAAAAUUAGAGUGUUUCAAGCAGGCUUUAUGCUAUGAAUACAUUAGCAUGGAAUAAUAAUAUAGGACUUCGGUUCUAUUUUGUUGGUUUUCGGGACUGAAGUAAUGAUUGAUAGGGAUAGUUGGGGGUGCUAGUAUUCAGUGGCCAGAGGUGAAAUUCUUGGAUUCACUGAAGACUAACUACUGCGAAAGCAUU